rnacentral:rRNA from 1 species
AUGAAGGAUUUUGUGACUGAGUGGCGGACGGGGUGAGUAACGCGUGGAUAACCUGCCUCAUACAGGGGGAUAACAGCCGGAAACGGCUGCUAAUACCGCAUAAGCGCACGGUACCGCAUGGUACAGUGUGAAAAACUCCGGUGGUAUGGGAUGGAUCCGCGUCUGAUUAGCCAGUUGGCGGGGUAACGGCCCACCAAAGCGACGAUCAGUAGCCGACCUGAGAGGGUGACCGGCCACAUUGGGACUGAGACAAGGCCCAAACUCCUACGGGGGGCAGCAGUAGGGAAUCUUCCACAAUGGGUGAAAACCUGAUGGAGCAAUGCCGCGUGAAUGAAGAAGGUCUUCGGAUCGUAAAGUUCUGUUAUUAGAGAAGAACAAGUCAAGGAGUAACUGUCUUGACUUUGACGGUACCUAACCAGAAAGUCACGGCUAACUACGUGCCAGCAGCCGCGGUAAUACGUAGGUGACAAGCGUUGUCCGGAAUUAUUGGGCGUAAAGGGAGCGCAGGCGGUUGGAAUAGUCUGAUGUGAAAGCCCACGGCUUAACCGUGGAAGGUCAUUGGAAACUGUCCAACUUGAAUACAGAAGAGGUAAGUGGAAUUCCAAGUGUAGCGGUGAAAUGCGUAGAUAUUUGGAGGAACACCAGUGGCGAAGGCGACUUACUGGUCUGUAAUUGACACUGAGGCUCGAAAGCGUGGGUAGCAAACAGGAUUAGAUACCCUGGUAGUCCACGCCGUAAACGAUGAGUGCUAAGUGUUAGGGGGUUUCCGCCCCUUAGUGCUGGAGUUAACG